rnacentral:rRNA from 1 species
AUUGAACGCUGGCGGCAUGCCUUACACAUGCAAGUCGAACGGUAACGGGCCUUCGGGUGCCGACGAGUGGCGAACGGGUGAGUAAUGUAUCGGAACGUACCUUUCAGUGGGGGAUAACGUAGCGAAAGUUACGCUAAUACCGCAUAUUCUGUGAGCAGGAAAGCAGGGGAUCGCAAGACCUUGCGCUGAUUGAGCGGCCGAUAUCAGAUUAGCUAGUUGGUGAGGUAAAGGCUAACCAAGGCGACGAUCUGUAGCGGGUCUGAGAGGAGGAUCCGCCACACUGGAACUGGGACACGGUCCAGACUCCUACGGGAGGCAGCAGUGGGGAAUAUUGGACAAUGGGGGCAACCCUGAUCCAGCCAUGCCGCGUGUGUGAAGAAGGCCCUAGGGUUGUAAAGCACUUUCAGUGGGGAGAAAGGUUGUUCAGUUAAUACCUGAAUGAAUUGAUGUUACCCACAGAAGAAGCACCGGCUAACUCCGUGCCAGCAGCCGCCGUAAGAC